UACGUAGGGAGCAAGCGUUGUCCGGAAUCAUUGGGCGUAAAGCGCGCGUAGGCGGCCCCGUAAGUCCGCUGUGAAAGUCAAAGGCUCAACCUUUGAAAGCCGGUGGAUACUGUGGGGCUAGAGUCCGGAAGAGGCGAGUGGAAUUCCUGGUGUAGGCGGUGGAAUGCGCAGAUAUCAGGAGGAACACCAAUAGCGAAGGCAGCUCGCUGGGACGGUACUGACGCUAAGGCGCGAAAGCGUGGGGAGCGAACAGG
rnacentral:rRNA from 1 species